rnacentral:lncRNA from 1 species
UUGGCUUUCUCUAGUUAUGCCACAACCCAAACAAACUGUUAAACCACAAAUGCACAAACCAAAAGAUUUACAUCAAUCUUCUAGUGGGCAUUGAAAUGAUCUUAGUUCUAGUCCCCCAACACACCAGCAAAGCAAUUUGUCAGCAUAGCACACAUCGUCGACACUAAUCUGCACAUUGGCUCAGUAUACCCUAUAUACUUUAUCAAGCACUAGUCUGCACACUUGCAUAACACAACCAGUACAGCCAUAACACCACAGUAAGAAUCUAUCGAGCACCUGUUCUACACU